GCCUGGCUGCUCAGUCGGUAGAGCGUGAGGAUCCUCAUCUCAGGGUCGUGGGUUCGAGCCCCACGUUGGACG
rnacentral:tRNA from 1 species